ACACAUCAUUGCCAAACUCAUCAAAAGUAAGUCUUAGCCAAUCAUAUUCUAAUAUAGCUUGCCAAUAACUGUCAUUAUGCACUUGUAAAAAUAUGCACUAUAAAAGGUAGAUUGUAAUUGUAUAGCUCAGAGUUGAAGCUACAAGCAAGGUGUAAGGAAAAGUUGGUGUUCUCUAUAUUAAAAAACCUUUGAUCCAAGUACCGGCUCUUACCGAGUAAAUCCCACAGUUUACAAAAAGACCAUUGUAACACUAGUAUUCCUCACAUGGGCUCUGAAAUUCAUUUUAUUGAUGACAUGGUGGACAGUCAUGUACAUGUAGGAGAACAAGGUCACAUGUUCACCACACUCAAGGCAAGCUUUUUCCAGAUCCAGAAUGAAAAGGGCUGACAAUUUUUUAUCGAAUUACAUCAAAAGUUUAUUUUUAUUUUUCUGCAAGCGAUAUUUCUUUGGAUAGAAGCUUAAUAUGUACAUGCAAGAACAGAAACAAAAAAUUAAUAUGUAAAGGACAWGAAAUACAAGAGUACAAGAACUAUAUUCGAAAUAAUGUUCUCGUUUUACAUUUGCUUAAGCACUAGCAACGUGUCAUUAAAACAAGAGGGUCCGAGCACUGUAACUAACUAGAACAGCAACUUAAUAUUGCGCCACAAGUUAAUGUUUUUUUGUGCGUCGUAUUUCUCGGCCUUAAAAACAUAAUCACAUAAGGGGACUGAACAUGCUCCGUAAUCGAUUUUUCUAAGAACGAAUUUUUGUGCUGCCAAAACGCAAAGUAAAAGUUGCUUACGAAAUAGAAGAAUUUAUCCUUUGGCAAAUAGCUAUAUAGACAAUUUGUGAAAAAGCGUGCAGUCAUUUAUACAUUUCCCGCUGGAAAAACAAUUUUUAAAGAUUUUUAUCUUGUGUAAAUUAUUAUGUACAGUUUUGUGUGAAUAUUCGUAACUGUUAAUGACGAUAUCCUUGAAGAUAUUUAUUACAUCUUGUAGGGCUGGGGCCGGCUAUAGGAAGGGUGGAUAUAUUAUAAAACUUAUCCACUCCUUGGAUUUUGUAUGGGAUUUUAUCUGCUGGAUAAGGAUCUAUCCGGUAGAUAGCGCUAUUAUGGGAGAACUCCUAGCAAUCCAAGUAAUUCAAUAGAGAUUUAUGUAACUUGAACACUAAAAAAUACAUAGCAACCUUUGACAGGAUUAUCACUGAACCUGUACUAGUAAGAUAAAUUGUUAUGGACAUGAAAUAUUGAAUUAGCAUAAAACAUGAGGUCCCUCGUGAUAAUUUCAAUAAUUGUGGGUGAAUUUUUACCGGCCAUUUUUAUGCUUUCAUUGACAGUACUGUGGCAUUGUUUUUAUGUAUAAUGAUUGUAGCCAGUGAUUUAUGCAUAAUUAAACUCUAAUGAACUGGAUUA